rnacentral:sRNA from 1 species
GUGUAUGUAAUCGGGAUGAGAUUCUCAAUG